rnacentral:lncRNA from 1 species
CAUAAAGCUCCCUCUUCUGACUAAUUAUGUGCAUUGGAUGACAUAACUCUACAGAAAGAAAAUAAGAAACUGUCAUUAUGCAACUUGUUCUUAACAACCACUCACUUCGAGUGCCAAAUAUAGUUCAACUACAUAGAUUAAAUGCACCAGUAGGAUACAGUCGCGCAUGCCCACUGAAUCUGUUGCUUUCACUAAAGUCUGAAAUUCACAAUCCGUUGAUUCUUCAUACAGGAUUAACAGAGAGAGAGCGCGAGAGUUAACACAGAGAGUAGAGAGAGAAACUUAUUGAGAGAGAGACGGAAUUAACAGAGAGAAAUUCUCCAGUCCACCGCCGCCUAGCUCCUGGUCGUGGCCUCACUUUUGUGCACCUGCAAUCAACGGAGAAUGAUUAGUACAGUGUCCUUGGAAUCUACUGGGAGAGAUGAUCAGCACCAGGACAACCGUCCGGUGCACGCAUGCACACCCGGACGGCACACAACACACACGCAUGCUCACCCGGCCAGCAAACAAAACACACACCAAAAAAACUCAUUACUGCUGCAAGGAUUGUUGAGAUGAUCCAAACAGGCAUACAUAUCAAUUACAGAAGCCACAUAUUGGAAUUUAAGGCGAGCAUAUUUAAAUACUGUUGGAAGGAUUGUUGAGAUGACAACCCAAACAGGCAUACAUGUCGUCAAUUACAGAAAUCAACUAUUGGAAUGGACAUAUGCAGAACUUAAGCUCGGCUAAGACCUCGGAGGCGGUCAUCCUGGACACGCAUAUCAUGAAUUGAAACCCAAACUUGUCCCAGCAUUCACAUUCCAUUCAGACAAUUCCUGCAACAAACAGUUUGAAGAAACCAGCCAAAUUGAGUAUAGAAAUCAGAUCAGAUAAAUCAUAUCACAGAUGCAAGGCACCGUAUGACCUGCAUGGUGGAAUCAGUGGAUGUGGAAAGUACAACUGAAUGCUCAUCUUUGCUCCAUCUGUAGUGAUGACUGAUGACUGAUGGCCUGAUGAUGGAGUGACGAACUAACAGAGACCAACAGGCAGAAGAAGAACUAACGGACUUGGAGACGACGCGGGAGGUGGUUCCGAUGUGUGGGUGGUGGGCGAAGGCCUCCAGCCAUCCAGUCACAUCCACCUAGGUUUGAUUUGUUCGUUCCCGGUCGCACAUAUGACCGGCGCGGAACACACACACCAUCAGAGGGAUCGAGAGAGAGAGAGAGAGGGAUCGAGAGAGAGAGAGAGAGAGAGAGAGAGAGAGAGAGAGAGAGAGAGCGGGAGAUGGACUCACAUCGAUCCGGUGCUGCAACCCUCCAUUCGCCGCUGUCUGUGUGCCCACGCUCCAUAGCCGCCGCAAAUCUCGAGAGGGAAGGGAGGAAGAGCACUCUCGGAUUUUUGUGAGGUGAGCGAACCGCCAUGUCGUCCCCAGGCCUCCGCCGCCUAAUUCCCUCAAGCCGCCGCCACAUCUUCAUAUACCUACGCUGCUAGGGAGAAGUCGGGCUCGUGAAGUACAUCGGGGAGAGGAUGUGAAAGGGAACUGUUUUUAUUUGAAGACUCUGAAGGCAAAUUUUGUGAAGAUAUAUUGAUUGAGGGAAGAUAAGGGAACCAUCGUGAUAGGCUUCUGAAUACGGGCGACGUUACUACUCCGGCCGGCCGUUCAAAUGCCUCCUCAGUUAAUCUUAUAGAACGGCCGGAGUAGUGGGAAUUAACAGAAAGUAAUGGUGGCUUGAGGUAGCAAGAAAAAUAUGCCAGCGUGGAGAAGAAAAAAUUGUUAGGAUUUAAUUAAUCCUAUUAAUCUCUGCUUUUCCUAAUUGAGGCGAUUGUCUCAUGUCCCUUCAGACGCACCUCUUCGAUUGUCUCUCGUCCUCUACUCGAAACACGUUAUCAGCACGCUCCCGGCGGAGCGAAUCCAUCUGUGUGCCGUUCUCCGUCUACGGCAGCGCUCGUUAAUUGGACGGCCUCAGCCCGGCGGAAACGCUUCCAAGCGGCAGCCUUGCAUCAUGCAUGGCAACGACAUGAAUCUCUCGAUUCUAAAUUAACUCUUCAAGAGCGAUUCCUUGCAGGAAGUGUAGGAGAUAAUGAGGAACAAGGGCAUUGGCAUCCGUCGAUCCAAAUUUCUCUUUAUAGAACGUGAAUCAAGGUACGAUGGCUCACUUCAUUACCAUCUUCGCUGAACUGGUGGUGGCGCUCAUCGUCAUCUUGCCAUCAGCGUCUGGCCUCGACCCCGCUCUGGACUGGGCGACCGGAACCACUGGCUUCGCGUCCCGCGACGGAAACGCGCAUCCGCACAGAUCGGCGGCGCUGGCCCUCUACAGGGUCGCCCUCCGGCAUGAGCGGCUCCUCCGACGCCGCAGUCGUCGAUGUUGAUGCAGUCGCGCCAAGCGCCCCCCGCCGCCCGGCCGCGGCCGCGCCACACCCGUGGCCGGGCCCCUGCGUCAGGCCGUGGCCGCCCUCGCGCGCGCCCGGCCCGUGCCGCCGUGGCGUCCUCGCCGCACACAGGCACUCGCCGGCGCCUCGUGACCUCCGCCUUCACAGCGCUCGGGCAGUGCAUGGCAUCCGCCUACCCGGCGACUCCUCUGACGAUGAAUAGUGCGGUUGGAGUUCCUCCCGUCGCCCGUGAUGCGGGCGACCGGCCGUAGGUGCCUCCGAGGAAGAGCGCGGCUGGAGUCCCUCCGGUCUUGGUCGUGUGGAUUGGGGAUCGAAUCUACUCCUUCUGUGGAUAUCCCUGUCUACUCUUCCUUAUCCAUUCGGUUGAUCAGGCUGCACCUGGC